GGGGAAUUUUGGACAAUGGGCGCAAGCCUGAUCCAGCCAUGCCGCGUGUCUGAAGAAGGCCUUCGGGUUGUAAAGGACUUUUGUCAGGGAAGAAAAGGCUGUUGCUAAUAUCAGCGGCUGAUGACGGUACCUGAAGAAUAAGCACCGGCUAACUACGUGCCAGCAGCCGCGGUAAUACGUAGGGUGCGAGCGUUAAUCGGAAUUACUGGGCGUAAAGCGGGCGCAGACGGUUACUUAAGCAGGAUGUGAAAUCCCCGGGCUCAACCCGGGAACUGCGUUCUGAACUGGGUGACUCGAGUGUGUCAGAGGGAGGUAGAAUUCCACGUGUAGCAGUGAAAUGCGUAGAGAUGUGGAGGAAUACCGAUGGCGAAGGCAGCCUCCUGGGAUAACACUGACGUUCAUGCUCGAAAGCGUGGGUAGCAAACAGGAUUAGAUACCCUGGUAGUCCACGCCCUAAACGAUGUCAAUUAGCUGUUGGGCAACUUGAUUGCUUAGUAGCGUAGCUAACGCGUGAAAUUGACCGCCUGGGGAGUACGGUCGCAAGAUUA
rnacentral:rRNA from 1 species